rnacentral:lncRNA from 1 species
UUCCAAUUGUUUGUUGGUGUUGGAAUUUGGACGGCACUCUGUCGGCCUUGGAAUUAGAAGAGGUUGCCGUUUAACAGUAAACCAAUAGCACCCCACCAAGUUCGCCAAUGGCUUGAUGGAAAAAGUCCGUUUCAGUUCCAGGCAUGUUGUGGAAAUUUAUACUGAAGAUCAUUCAAACUUUGAAGUUGGGCACUAAGUACUACUCCUAUUCCUUGGACUUUAAUCUCUUCUGAUUCAUGUAUUCUUAAUGAUUCAGUAGACCAGUGGUUAGAAACAAACUUAAGUAUCCACACCACAAGUAACAUGCUCACUGUUAACUGACUGUCUAAAUGCAAUACGGGGUCCUUCCAAGUUCGAUCUAGCCUCUAAUGAAGCAGGUACUAUUUUUGAGUGCAGAUAUUCAAAUGCAAAUUGAUGGUUGUUGUUGUCUGUGUCACACUGAAUUUGAAACUAGAAAUCAUCUACUUUUAGAGUGUAGAUAUUGGAAGACAGUCUGGAAUGAAGUGCUUAAAUUUGUUCAUUGCAAAAAUCCACUGGACAGUGGAAUUUUGAGCUACAAUAGGUGAUAAGGAAGCUAAAGGGAAAAGCCUG